rnacentral:rRNA from 1 species
AUGAACGCUGGCGGCGUGUCUAAUACAUGCAAGUCGAGCGAACAGACGAGGAGCUUGCUCCUCUGACGUUAGCGGCGGACGGGUGAGUAACACGUGGAUAACCUACCUAUAAGACUGGGAUAACUUCGGGAAACCGGAGCUAAUACCGGAUAAUAUAUUGAACCGCAUGGUUCAAUAGUGAAAGACGGUUUUGCUGUCACUUAUAGAUGGAUCCGCGCCGCAUUAGCUAGUUGGUAAGGUAACGGCUUACCAAGGCGACGAUGCGUAGCCGACCUGAGAGGGUGAUCGGCCACACUGGAACUGAGACACGGUCCAGACUCCUACGGGAGGCAGCAGUAGGGAAUCUUCCGCAAUGGGCGAAAGCCUGACGGAGCAACGCCGCGUGAGUGAUGAAGGUCUUCGGAUCGUAAAACUCUGUUAUUAGGGAAGAACAAAUGUGUAAGUAACUAUGCACGUCUUGACGGUACCUAAUCAGAAAGCCACGGCUAACUACGUG